rnacentral:rRNA from 1 species
CAGUAGCCGCGGUAAUACGUAGGUGGCAAGCGUUGUCCGGAAUUAUUGGGCGUAAAGCGCGCGCAGGUGGUUUAAUAAGUCUGAUGUGAAAGCCCACGGCUCAACCGUGGAGGGUCAUUGGAAACUGUUAAACUUGAGUGCAGGAGAGAAAAGUGGAAUUCCUAGUGUAGCGGUGAAAUGCGUAGAGAUUAGGAGGAACACCAGUGGCGAAGGCGGCUUUUUGGCCUGUAACUGACACUGAGGCGCGAAAGCGUGGGGAGCAAACAGGAUUAGAGACCCGUGUAGUCCCUGUCUCUUAUAC